rnacentral:sRNA from 1 species
GCAGCGCGGGAGCCGCACAGUCGAGGAGGGAGCGCGGGACGCCGAGCCCACGCGCGCCUGCCGGGGCAAGUGGAGGCGAAGCCGGAGAGCGGACGCCCCGAGGUGGACGACCCCCCGGAGCCCGUGUACGCGAACAUAGAGAGGCAGCCCCGGGCCACUUCACCGGGUGCCGCUGCAGCCCCCCUUCCCAGCCCGGUGUGGGAGACGCACACGGACGCGGGCACCGGGCGCCCCUACUACUACAACCCAGACACGGGAGUUACCACCUGGGAGUCGCCCUUUGAGGCUGCCGAGGGUGCCGCCAGCCCAGCCACCUCCCCUGCCUCGGUGGACAGCCACGUGAGCCUUGAGACCGAGUGGGGCCAGUACUGGGAUGAGGAGAGCCGCAGGGUGUUCUUCUACAACCCGCUGACGGGCGAGACGGCCUGGGAGGACGAGGCCGAGAACGAUCCCGAGGAGGAGUUGGAGAUGCAGCCGGGCCUGAGCCCUGGCAGCCCCGGGGACCCGCGGCCCCCCACUCCCGAGACGGACUACCCCGAGUCACUGACCAGUUACCCCGAGGAGGAUUAUUCUCCCGUGGGCUCUUUCGGUGAGCCCGGCCCUACCUCUCCCUUGACUACACCCCCCGGCUGGUCUUGUCAUGUCAGCCAGGACAAGCAGAUGCUCUACACCAACCACUUCACCCAGGAGCAGGUAGGGGCAGGGGGCAGAUGGGCCCGGACAGCCUCAGAGUCCUCCCCACAAUCUUCCUCACUAAUAGGUCGCCUCAGUGCUCUAAAUUGCAGCUCCCACACAGAGCCUAAACGAGCCAAACGCAGUCACCUGCACCUGCCCCUCCAGACUCCCUGGUGCUGUCUUGGAACCUGGUUAGAGGGAACCUUUUCCUCCCCUCUCAUGAGCUGGGCUGGAGGCCCUGACCGUUCCUCUCCCCACAGUGGGUGAGGCUGGAGGACCCCCACGGGAAGCCAUACUUCUACAAUCCAGAGGACUCCUCUGUUCGAUGGGAGCUGCCCCAGGUAACAACCUGGGGAAAGAGGGGUGUUGGGGAGAGAGGAAGAGAUUACAUACGGCUGUGUCUUUCUCCCCAGGUCCCUGUCCCUGCCCCUCGAAGCAUCCAUAAAGCCAGCCAGGAUGGUGACACC